ACACACACGUCUUUCAUGUCCCGCCCACUUCUUCAAAGUUAUCUAGACUACGCCACUGAGAAAGACCCAUUUCUGAACGCUGUGAACCAAAGAUUUCUGUCUUAUUUAUCGAGUCACACUGAAGGCAUCAAGGGCUAUUUGAGCAAGAAGGAGAGUGAUGACCUGGCCUCCACAGUCACCGGACCUGAACCCAAUCCAGAUGGUUUAGGGGUGAGCUGGACCACAGACAGAAGGCAAAAGGGCCAACAAGUGCUAAGCAUCUCUCGGGGAACUCCUUCCAGACUGUUGGAAGACCAUUUCUGGUCAGUUUUAGAAAACAGGAUGUCUCACACUGUCAUACCCAUGAACUCUUCAACACUCGUCAUUCAGCUGCAACCAGCACCUGAGACGACGGACACAAAUGCUCCUGGACCUGUUUAUGCACAAAAGAUGACGGUAGCUUCACCUCUUCAAGGACUUCAGGCAUUUCUGAAAGCGCAACCGAAGGCCCUUGGGACGGUCGAGAUAAUGAUCGGUGUGAUGACUUUCCUGUUAGGCAUUGUGGCUACAGUUUCCGGAUUUUCUAUCUUUGUCUAUACUGGUGUUACUUACUGGGGAUCUCUCAUCUACAUUGCUGCAGGCUCACUCUGCAUUGCUGCAGAAAACAAAAUUAAGUCUCCCCCCAAUUUGUGUUUGGUGAAUGCUUCACUGGGAAUGAACGUUUGCAGUACGAUAUCUGCAGGCAUUUCCAUUGUUGCAAUUUCACUAGAUUUUGUUAUAUUUCACCGAUACGGGGCAAAUUAUGAGACUCUCUUCAUGGGAAUCAAAGGUGUAUUAAUGUUAUUCGCCGCGUUCGAGUUUAUCAUCUCCAUCUGUCUGUCAGCAUUUGCCUGUAAAGCAAACACCUACGGUUAUUCUACUCUGGCAGUGUGGGCAGGUGGCAAAUCCUGCUGGAAAAUGAAAUCAUCAUCUUCGAAAAGUUGGUAAGCAGAAAGAUGCAUGAAGUGCUCCAAAAUGUCUUGGUAAACAGGUGCAGUGUCUUUGGUUUUCAAAAAACACAAUGGACCAACACCAGCAGAUGACAUUGCACCCCAAAUCAUUGCUUAACACUGAAGUUCAAGCAAUGUGGGCUAUGAGCUUCUCCACCAUCCCUCCAGAGUCUAGGACCUUGGAUUCCACAUGAAACAUAAAACUUGCUCUCAUCUGAAAAGAGGACUUUGGACCACUAGACAACAGUCCAGUUCUUCUCCUUAGCCCAGAUACCUGUGACAAGCAGCUCUUCCAUUAAUCACCAGCCUGCAGACACUCCUCCACAAUACAGUGAACCCAAACAAAUAUGAAUACGUGGGGUGUUACCUGUUAUGAGAGAAAAUAUAUGGGAAUGUAUUAGAACAGUGGUUUCCAAACCUGUCCUGGAGGAUCCCCUGCCCUGAACCUUUUGUAUGUGUCCUUCAUCUAAUCAGUCCCUCCAGAAUUUCGCUGAACUUUCUUCUGAUUUUUUCAGCCUAAAAUUUUGCUGCAGCUUUUCUUAAAAUUUGUGUUUCUAAGAUGUUUCCUAUCAGAUGUCAAAUAGACAUUUAUUAGAACGCAUGUAAAACUGCUUCUGAGACGUUUAAUCAGAGUACACAGCAGAUGAUUCCCAAAGCUUUAGCAGACGUCUUACAGAUGAAAUAAAUGUACUACAUCUGAUUAAAUUAACUUUUAUUACUGUAAUAUAUAAUGUCUAAAUAUAAUUUAAUGAAUACAAAUAUAUAUAUAUUUUAGGAAGUGGAAAUGGCCUAUAAGUACUUUUCUGCAGCUAUCUACUAGUGGUAAUUUAAUAUCUUUUCUAUUUUUAAUUAAUUGUUUGCUUUCCUACAUCUUGAAACUUUUAGUUUUAUACAUGGGGGAACCAUGAAGAAUAAACAUAUAUCUUCACAUAAAAAUUUGGUAAUACUUAAAGCUUUGAAGUGCUGGGAAAAGUUGUGUGAAGCAUUUAAAAUCACUCGAAAACAUUAGAUAAUUUCUGCCACAAGUUGUCCCUGUAGUUUACUGUUAAAUCAAUGGUGAACGGUGAUGAUCUGUGUUUAUUGAACAAUGUUUUUCCUGGUUUCCAGAUCAGUGGCAUUUGUUCUGAUAUCUGUAACUUUAACAGAAUUCUGCGCUGAAUUUGAAUGCUUCUCACAUGAUUAGACAGAGAUGUUGAUUCUGUGGGGAUUUCUACUGCUUUCUUCACUCUAUCUCCCAGCGCUGUGUAUAUCAGUGUCACGUGAUCAAGAUCAGCCCGCGACUCCAGCUCGAGCAGAUAAACGGUCUGCGCUGUGUAGGCCAAACUAGUAGCACAGAUUCGUUCCAAUUUUGGUUUGUUUAUCCAAUGUAACUCCUGUACAUCAGUCAUAAUGAGAACUCAAGGCUGUUCAUUCCAUUUUUUAAAAUGAAAAACAACCCUUCUUUGAAUGAAUGCACAUUGCGAUGUCGUCAAGGGACGCAAUGAAAUGUAAGUUUGCUUGAUUUUGCAACAAAUUCAGCAAUCACGAAAUCCUGGAGGGACUGUCUUAACAAACCUGAUUCCACUCAUCAGUUCAAUAGUAGAGACUGCGAGAACUAAAUUAGUUGUGUCUGAUUAGGGAGACAUACAAAGGUGCAGGUCCUCCAGGACAGGUUUGGGAACCACUGUAUUAGAAAAUAUAAUGCUGUUCAAAUAUAAUAUGAACACAAACUUUUCUCUCGCUUUAUUGUUUGCAUAGUUACACAUUUCAUAUAUGAAAAUAUUUGUGAUGUAUAGAAGAAAACUGUACUGAAAAUAUAAAUAAAAGUUUUGGAAUUUUAGACGA